CUACGGGAGGCUGCAGUAAGGAAUUUUGCGCAAUGGGGGAAACCCUAACGCAGCGACGCCGCGUGGAGGACGAAGUCUUUCGGGAUGUAAACUCCUGUCAGUGGGGAAGAUAAUGACGGUACCCACAGAGGAAGCACCGGCUAACUAUGUGCCAGCAGCCGCGGUAAUACAUAGGGUGCAAGCGUUGUCCGGAUUUAUUGGGCGUAAAGCGCGCGUAGGCGGUAAAUUAAGUUGGAUUUGAAAGGCUGUGGCUCAACCAUGGUUUGGGUCCAAAACUGAUUUACUAGAGAGUAGGAGAGGGAAGUAGAAUUUACGGUGUAGCGGUGAAAUGCGUAGAUAUCGUAAGGAAUACCAGUGGCGAAGGCGGCUUCCUGGACUACUUCUGACGCUAAGGCGCGAAAGCGUGGGUAGCAAACAGGAUUAGAUACCCCGGUAGUC
rnacentral:rRNA from 1 species